rnacentral:rRNA from 1 species
GAUGGGCCCGCGUUGGAUUAGCUAGUUGGUGGGGUAAAAGCCUACCAAGGCGACGAUCCAUAGCUGGUCUGAGAGGAUGAUCAGCCACACUGGGACUGAGACACGGCCCAGACUCCUACGGGAGGCAGCAGUGGGGAAUAUUGGACAAUGGGGGCAACCCUGAUCCAGCCAUGCCGCGUGAGUGAUGAAGGCCCUAGGGUUGUAAAGCUCUUUCAGCGAGGAGGAUAAUGACGUUACUNGCAGAAUAAGCCCCGGCUAACUUCGUGCCANCAGCCGCGGUAAUACGAAGGGGGCUAGCGUUGUUCGGAAUNCUGGGCGUAAAGCGCACGUANGCGGCUUUUAAAGUCANGGGUGAAAUCCCGGGCUCAACCCCGGAACUGGCUUUGAUACUGGANGGCUUGAAUACUGANAGGUGAGUGGANUNCCAGUG